rnacentral:tRNA from 1 species
CCGGUUGCGGUCCGGCCGGUUACGGUCCGGCCGGUUACGGUCCGGCCGGUUGCGGUCCGGCCGGUUGCGGUCCGGCCGCCCGGUC